rnacentral:RNase_P_RNA from 2 species
AAAGUAGGACACUUUAUUGCAUUUUAUCAUUCAACGAUAAAUGAGGAAAGUCCGGGCACUGGGUUUAGCACAAUGGGUAAUACCCAUCCAUUGCGAAAUGAGGAUAAGUGCAACAGAAAGAAAAUAUAGCUAGGUUGUAGUGAAAUCAGGCAAACUCUGUGCUGUGAAAUGCCAUUUUUACCGGUAAAAUUUAGCCCAACCUUCCGGUUGGUCGGCAGUUAGCGAUAAGUGGUAACUCUUAUUCUAGAUAAAUAAUAAAGGUUACAAACAGAAUCCGGCUUAUAGCUCUACUUUUUUU